rnacentral:rRNA from 1 species
GUGGGGAAUAUUGGACAAUGGGGGGAACCCUGAUCCAGCCAUGCCGCGUGUGUGAAGAAGGCCUUUUGGUUGUAAAGCACUUUAAGCGAGGAGGAGGCUACCGAGAUUAAUACUCUUGGAUAGUGGACGUUACUCGCAGAAUAAGCACCGGCUAACUCUGUGCCAGCAGCCGCGGUAAUACAGAGGGUGCAAGCGUUAAUCGGAUUUACUGGGCGUAAAGCGCGCGUAGGUGGCCAAUUAAGUCAAAUGUGAAAUCCCCGAGCUUAACUUGUGAAUUGCAUUCGAUACUGGUUGGCUAGAGUAUGGGAGAGGAUGGUAGAAUUCCAGGUGUAGCGGUGAAAUGCGUAGAGAUCUGGAGGAAUACCGAUGGCGAAGGCAGCCAUCUGGCCUAAUACUGACACUGAGGUGCGAAAGCAUGGGGAGCAAACAGGAUUAGAAACCCCGGUAGUCC